rnacentral:rRNA from 1 species
AUUGAACGCUGGCGGCAGGCUUAACACAUGCAAGUCGAGCGGGGUGAUGGUGCUUGCACUAUCACUUAGCGGCGGACGGGUGAGUAAUGCUUAGGAAUCUGCCUAUUAGUGGGGGACAACAUCUCGAAAGGGAUGCUAAUACCGCAUACGUCCUACGGGAGAAAGCAGGGGAUCACUUGUGACCUUGCGCUAAUAGAUGAGCCUAAGUCGGAUUAGCUAGUUGGUGGGGUAAAGGCCUACCAAGGCGACGAUCUGUAGCGGGUCUGAGAGGAUGAUCCGCCACACUGGGACUGAGACACGGCCCAUAUUCCUACGGGAGGCAGCAGUGGGGAAUAUUGGACAAUCGGGGGAACCCUGAUCCAGCCAUGCCGCGUGUGUGAAGAAGGCCUUAUGGUUGUAAAGCACUUUAAGCGAGGAGGAGGCUCUUUUGGUUAAUACCCAAGAUGAGUGGACGUUACUCGCAGAAUAAGCACCGGCUAACUCUGUGCCAGCCGCCGCAGUAA